GUGUUUAUCAAAUAAAUUACCUGUAUAACCUCAGAAUAUGGCUGAGGGUCUCUACCAGGAACCACAAAAUCCUGAUUACAGAAAAUGAACUGUUCAUU
rnacentral:ncRNA from 2 species